UCGGGAAUAUUGCGCAAUGGAGGAAACUCUGACGCAGUGACGCCGCGUAUAGGAAGAAGGUUUUCGGAUUGUAAACUAUUGUCGUUAGGGAAGAUAAAAGACUGUACCUAAGGAGGAAGCCCCGGCUAACUAUGUGCCAGCAGCCGCGGUAAUACAUAGGGGGCAAGCGUUAUCCGGAAUUAUUGGGUGUAAAGGGUGCGUAGACGGAAGAACAAGUUGGUUGUGAAAUCCCUCGGCUCAACUGAGGAACUGCAACCAAAACUAUCCUCCUUGAGUGUCGGAGAGGAAAGUGGAAUUCCUAGUGUAGCGGUGAAAUGCGUAGAUAUUAGGAGGAACACCAGUGGCGAAGGCGACUUUCUGGACGAUAACUGACGUUGAGGCACGAAAGUGUGGGGAGCAAACAGGAUUAGAUACC
rnacentral:rRNA from 1 species